ACGUAAUAUCAUGUAAGGGAUGUUUUUGUAUUGAUUUGCUCGAUGUUAAAUGAUGUUAUACUUCUGUUUAAUAAUAUGCCAUUGCUUCUGUUGGCAGGUAUGUUGUGGGACAGUAUUCUCAGUUUUUAAGAGCUCAUUGGACGUUUCUAAAAGCUGUUGUGAAUAAGUUUCUUGAGCUUUUGCAUGAGACUCGACCUGGAGUUCAGGUUAUGUUUUCUUCCUAUGUUUUCUGUCCUACUUUUUCUUAUAUUAACAACUUAGUUUAUGUCCCUGUGCGUGUGCCUGUGUUUGUGUGCUCUGCGUGCUCAUUUCUGUGUGCUCUGUGUCUGUACUUUGUGUUGUGUGCCUUUGUUUGCCUUUGAGUCCUUGUGUGUGCAUGUUGUGUUUUGUAUGUGUUUCUAUGUGCGUGUAUCUGUCAUUUUUGUGUUCACAGGUGGUAGCCCUUCAGUUUGGGAACACUACCAAUAUUCUUGAGGCAUAUUCAUAUGGUUCAAGUGAGGAACAAGAACAUAUCAUGUAGAAUUUUGCACUGUUCUUCACCUCGUUUUGCAAGGCAGGUUCACAUUUGAAUUCUGGAAUCUAGUAAAGAGAUUACAUCUGCUUUGCUUUUGGGUCUUGAAUGUCUUAUCAACGUCCCAUAUGUAGAUGAUACCGGGGAUUUUAAGGUGAUUGUAUUUUGUUUUAAUAAAAGGCACACUAGAGAAGAUAUAGGCCCCAAGAAACCAACUCCUUCGUUUUUGGAAAAUUAAAAAAAGAAAUUGAGAAGACGACAGGAAUACAUACUUUUUGUCAUGGUCAUUUGGGAUGUGUUAUAUCUCAGUGAAAUCACAACGGGAAAAGAUAACAAAGUUGUUAUUGCACGUAAUAUCAUGUAUGUUGUGGGACAAUAUCCUCAGUUUUUAAGAGCUCAUUGGUCGUUUCUAAAAGUUGUUGUGAAUAAGUUUCUUGAGCUUUUGCAUGAGACUCGUCCUGGAGUUCAGGUUAUGUUUUCUUCCUAUGUUUUCUGUCCUAUUUUUUAUUAUAUCAACAACUUAGUUUAUGUCCUUGUGCGUGUCCCUGUGUUUGUGUGCUCUGCGUGCUCAUUUCUGUGUGCUCUAUGUCUGUACUUUGUGUUGUGUGCCUUUGUUUGCCUUUGAGUCCUUGUGUGUGCAUGUUGUGUUUUGUAUGUCUUUCUAUGUGCGUGUAUCUGUCAUUUUUGUGUUCACAGGUGGCAGCCCUUCAGUUUGGGAACACUACCAAUAUUCUUGAGGCAUAUUCAUAUGGUUCAAGUGAGGAACAAGUAAGUCUCUGUAUUAUGGAAAAAUUGAAUCCGGACAUACUAUUUAGUUACUUGUGAAGCAUCUCUGACAAAAU